UGAGGAAUAUUGGACAAUGGAUGGAAAUCUGAUCCAGCCAUGCCGCGUGAAGGAUAAGGUCCUAUGGAUUUUCAACUUCUUUUGUAUGGGAGCAAUAAGAGUUACGUGUAGCUUGAUGAGAGUACCAUACGAAUAAGCAUCGGCUAACUCCGUGCCAGCAGCCGCGGUAAUACGGAGGAUGCAAGCGUUAUCCGGAUUUAUUGGGUUUAAAGGGUGCGUAGGCGGUUUUUUAAGUCAGUGGUGAAAAGCAAAAGCUUAACUUUUGGAGUGCCAUUGAAACUGAGAGACUUGAAUACGGUUGCCGUGGGAGGAAUGUGUAGUGUAGCGGUGAAAUGCAUAGAUAUUACACAGAACACCGAUUGCGAAGGCAUCUCACGAAGCCGGCAUUGACGCUGAGGCACGAAAGUGUGGGGAUCAAACAGG
rnacentral:rRNA from 2 species